CUCUGGACUUGCUCCUGUGAAUCCAGGGAGUGGGGAAGAACAGGAACAAAUCUCUGAAGAGUGUGCAUUUGCCUAUGUAACCAACUAUUUUCCUUGUUCCCAGAUCUCACAUCCCUGCUAACUGGUGGACGACCUGCAGGAGUGCACCUUCCAGGCCUGCAACCCUCCGCUGGCCAGUUCUUCGCAUCCCUAGAUCCUAUUAAUGAGGCUUCUGCCAUCCUCAGUCCCUUAAGCUCCAACCCAAGAAAUUCAGUUCAGCAUCAAUUCCAAGACACAUUUCCAGGUACAGAAAACAUUCGAAUUAUGGCCCAAGUGCAGGACAUAUGACUGUCAGAAAUCUCAGGACUGAUUCCUCAAGCGGCAGACACAGUGUUGCAAUUCUUUUUGGGGUGGGAGAGGCUACCAAGUCUGGAGAAAGAAAUGAGGAAGAUUUCUCCUCAAGCUAGAGCUAGCGCUUGCUUCAGACAGCUGAGAGUGGAAGAGAAUGGAGGGAAAGGGGAUGGGGGGGGGCAAAAAAGUGUGUGCAAUAGUUGGUCACCGGGUGGGGGUUUUUCCCUAGGUUUUUUUUUUUUUUUUUUUUUUUUGAAGGAUAGAGAGAUUUGUGAAUGAAGUCUCAAAAGACGUUGCUUAUUAAAAUACACACAUUUGGGGGGGUAACUUCAAACACUCCUACUUUUAAGAGGUUUUGAAUGUGGGCACAUGAGGGAGUACAUACACAAAGUAAAAUUUAGGGGUGUCAUCACUAGAUCUUUGAUGUCUCAGGGAUGUUUUAAUCUACUCUUUGCAUGCCCAAAUAUUAGGACUAUUUUUUUCUUGGAGUUGAUUGACAAGCUACUUGGCUUUCCCACUCCACCCUUGCUUUAAGCUUUCUGACUAUCAUUCUAAGAGCUGUGAAAUUCCUCCUUAGGAAAGGCCAUUCAGUGUGUGUGGAGCCAACUGUUAAUACAAAACACUUUUAAGCAGCCCAGUGAGACAGGCCUGCAAUUGUCUCUCUUCCCUCUCUUACCUUCUGCUCCGACUCCGUGGUAGGUCCCUAUGCUGUGCUCACGAAGGACACCAUGCCACAGACAUACAAGAGGAAGCGUUCUUGGUCGCGUGCAGUCUUUUCCAACCUGCAGAGGAAAGGCCUGGAGAAAAGGUUUGAGAUCCAGAAGUAUGUGACCAAGCCAGACCGAAAGCAGCUGGCAGCAAUGUUGGGCCUCACAGAUGCACAGGUAAGUCAGCCAGGGAUCCAGCACAUAGUGCCCUACCGGGUGGGCGGGCAGCAGCGGGUGUCCUAACUCCUCAGUCCCCCUCAGUCCCCACCGACUCACCUUUUGAAAUCAAAACACAGUGUCUUGAAUUAAAGGAGGUUUUGUGAACUUUAAAAUUGAGGCAGGAGGAGAGGAGGGUGGGGUAGGGGUGAGGGAGAACUAGGAGGAGAAUUGUUCAUCCCCGAAGAUGUCAACAAGCAGUAUGUGUUUAUUUUGGCCAACAGGCAAAAGAACCACUGAGAAAGCAAAUAGACUGCGGGAGAUGAUAAUUAUGUACUCAACUGGAGUGCAGUUCGCUAUAGGAGGCAGUUUAUUUCAGAAGAGAUAAAAGCCCAAAGUCAAGAGAUUGUUGUUGUUGUUGUUGUUAAUUUAAUUUUAUUUUUCUUCUGCCCUUCCUCCUCCUCUGCUGCUACUGGAUUGUGAAAUCCCUAGUUAUGAGGAAGUGAAAAUAUCAUUUCAAACGGAAUUACUUAGCUCCACUAGGGUCCGCUUAGAGCGGCCACAGGUCCAAGUUCUAACGGCUUUGGCUCUGUAGGAUGUCUCUGUGGUGGGGGCUGGGGUGUCUAGAAAGAAAGGUUUUCUUAAAAUGCCCAAGAGAAUUUCAGCAGGUUCUACCUACUUGAAUUUUUUUCCCCCAAGACAAUAAGAAACCUAUUGUACCUGAAUUAGUUUUCUUUUUCUUUGAUUCAAGAACUGUCCUUUCCUUUCCUUUCCUUUCCUUUCCUUUCCUUUCCUUUCCUUUCUUCUCUUCUUCUUUUAGCUUUGACUUCAGAAGAGACACCUCGUUCCACCUAUCUCAGCAGUAGCUUCUGUCACCAGCAGGGCAGAAGCCAAAGUUAGCCUUCUUUUUCUUAGAUCCCUGAUGGUCCCCUGACUUAUCUCUGUAUCUUUCUGUUCUCCAUUACACAACUCGGCUCCCCAGUGUGCGUGGCUUGUGCAUGCAUUCCCCCCACCCCUUACACACACACUGGAGGAGCCCAGCCAUUUUUCCACCAGCUGUGGAUGUUAUUUUUAAAAGGGAAGCUGGAACUUGUGUGGACGGGUUGGGUCCCCCAGGGAAUCAUAUAUUUAUAUAGAUUCUCUGCUCCAUCUUUUACCCUCUUCUUCCAUUUUGCUCACGUUAAUUCCAGCAUUUUCUGAUCUCCAAGAAAGAUUAGUUUAUCCCUGUCAGAGGCAGGGUUCUUAUCAACUCUGGAGUAAAAAUAUGCCAAAAAAAAAAAAAUCUCUUUUAUUCAAAGCCUGGCAAUACCCCUACUCGGCUAGGAUUAACUCUUUGCACCUCUUUUCUCACUUGCAUCCCACUUUUAUUCUUUAAAAUAAUAGCUUUUGCAGUGGCUUGCUUUGGAUCAUGAUAGUACAGGAUAGGACCUUGUGGAGAGAAAAAUUUUAACAUUGUCUCACCAAAAACUUGAGAUUCUGUGUAUCAUCAUGGGAACAUACCCCUUUUUCUGGGUCAGCAGUCCACAACUUUAAUCAGGUUCUUACAGGAGUCCUGACUCAAGUGAGGUCAAGAAACAGGGAUUUAGAGUAGAGAGCUUUAGUAGGUUUAGGGCCAGUUGCAGGAAUCUGCCUUUUCAACAAACUAUCUAGGUCAUUUCAAAUCUGAGGUCUGGGGGCCACAUUUUGAGAAUGGACCUAGUGGGUUCAGUGGUCCAGGAUCCCUAGGCUCAUUUUAGCCCUUAGCUGCCUCUGGGUCCCUUGUGCUUAUAUGGGAUUUUGGUAACUGCACCUAGUAAGGUGACUGGCAGGUGCAAGAGAGUCAGCCUGUUAUUCAUCUUGACUCCCUGUCCCGCUCAGGUGAAGGUGUGGUUCCAGAACCGGCGAAUGAAGUGGCGCCACUCCAAGGAGGCCCAAGCACAGAAGGAUAAGGACAAGGAGGCCGGCGAGAAGCCUCCAGGCGGAGCCCCGGUUGCCGAGGGCGAACAGGAGGAGAGGAGCCCCAGUCGCUCAGAGGGCGAGGCCGAGAGCGAGAGCAGCGACUCCGAGUCUCUGGACAUGGUCCCCAGCGACACCGAGCGGACUGAGGGGGCUGAGCGAUCUCUUCACCAAACAACUGUUAUCAAGGCCUCGGCCGCCGGCACCCUCAUCGCGGCCAGCAGCGGUGGGAGUGGAGGAGGUAGCGGCGGCAGCAGUUUCAGCUUCGGCAGCGCUAGCAGCCUCAGUAGCACCAGCACCAGCACGGGGAGCGCAAGCAGUCUUGGCAGCGGGGGCAGUAGCACCUCGGAGCUGCUCCCUGCACCCCAACCCACAGUUAGCAGUGCUCCCAAAAGCCCGGAGCCUCCCCAGGUCCCGCUGGGCAGCUUAUAGACUUCAGGAGGACUCAGGGGACUCUACGCGCAGCCUCCCACAUACGGGCUGGAUUUUGUGUUGGCGUUGGGCUGGGGCCAGAGAUGCAGCAAAGACUACUCUUCAGUGUUCACUCCAUGCCCCUUGGUGCCCAGAGCUCAGAGCCCAGAGGCCAUAAGUGUGUCCCCACCAAAGAUUCCUAUGGAACUCUUCUCUGGACAUGUGCAGCCCACACUGUGAAGUGUUUGAACUGUUCCUGCUCUCCAGGGAUCGUGGCAUAAAGACAUGCUGCACUUAAGAAGCCUUAAACUUGUAAAUAAAAUGUUUACCAUGGUUUGUAAAA
rnacentral:lncRNA from 1 species